GGCGGGGCUCCCUGGUGGUCUCGGGGCUGUCUGGGCGCGGCCGCGCGUGGGGCGGGCGGUAGGCCCUGGAGGUCGGCGUCCUGUUCAGCGCGGGCCUCCCGAGGCUGCGAAGAGGGGCGCGGGGCGGAGGCAGAGGCAGCGCCGCCUGGGCCGCGUCCACACUGAAUGGAGGGAGACUGGGGGUCCCGAGCGAACGCGCGGGAAGGGCCGCGUUUGUGGGAGAGGCCGCGCUGGCUGCGGGGUCUCCAUCCUCGUAAUCGCCGAGGCGGCCCGAACGCGGCCCAGAGGACUGAGCGACAGACCCCAUCGGGCCUCGCAGCCCGGCGAGGCUCUACUGGAACAGAGCAUCUCUACUGAGCCGGAAGGAGGGGGACUCCAGGAACGGGAAUCUCACAGGGAAGAACCCCCGCUCCCUCUAGCCUCUGACCCAAGACGCAUCGGAGCUUCAGAAGAGAAGCGGAAGAAACCCAGAAAAGGAGUGUAUCGCCCGGAGGGCGGAGGCUUGAGUGAUUUCACCACCAUCAGCUAAGGGAAAAAGCCUGAAAGGGGAAAUGACUUGUGAAGAAUCAGUAAGAGGCACAUAGAAGUCCUGGCAUGUGCUGUCCACACGAUCUCACGGAAACACAUUUCCUCUUAAAAAAAUCCUUUUGAGGAUGUCCCUGGUGGUCCAGUGGGAUUAAAGGUUACCCAGCUGGCGUGUGGAAGUUUUUAGGAAGAGCGUUGAGGAGCUCUCAUCAUCCUGUUCCUCUUUCCUCCUUUUCCAGGAAUGCCUUCCCAGGUUUUGACAGUCUUCCAAGAACAACAGAAAAUGAACAAAUCCCAGGUGCUCAUCACGUGUUUGUGGCUGAAUAAGCAAAUGGUAGGCUUGGGAAGCAAACUCUGCUCUGACUGGAUAAUCACCCUACCUGAAUACAGAGCAGGGCCAUCCAGGAGAAUUGGGGUCUCCUUUCCCUUCUCUGAAUGCUAUCUUGGAUCAUGCAAGAAGUGUGCUGGCCAGGGAUCCGUGUCAUUCAAGGACGUGCCUGUGGACUUCACCUGGGAUGAGAGGCUACAGCUGACCUGCAUGCGGAGGACCCUGUACCGGGAUGUGAUGCUGGUCUCCGUGGGUGAGGCGUCUUCCCUGUGUAGCGCCUCAGCGUGUGCAUUGUUUCUUAGCCGCCAAAGCUUACGAGCCCUUGGCGGAGCUUUAUGAUAUCUGCACACCUCACGGGUCAGAAAUGAGUGCUGCUAUUGAGCACAGAAAGAAGGCUUCUGUUCUCACGUCCCUAAAUAAAGGUUCAAAUGGGCACCAUUAUCAUGUGACUCCUGAACCGGCACCUUCAUUGUCCUUCAGGGCCCCCGAUGUCCAAGCAACUUGUCUGAAGUCUUAACCCUGUAUCUCACUCACAGGGUACUGCGUCAGCAAACCAGAGGUGAUCUUCAAGCUAGAGCAAGGAGAAGAGCCAUGGCCAUUAGAGAGAGCAUUUCCAUGCCGGAGUGAUCCAGGUGAGUUAGUCAUUAUCAGGUGAAAAAAAAGCCACUGGAAAAGCAGACCCAGAUGGAUUGGUCCAGAAGUUGAGACCUUUGGUGUCUGUCUCAGUACUUCUGUGUAGGGGCUUCAGACCUUGGGAAGUAACUGAACGGCGAGCCAGCCUGCCUCAGAUAACCUGAACCACAUUUCCAUCCACCACUCUUAAGUACCAGCGCUUUCCUCUCUGGCCUGACUUUUAGGGAAGGUGACCAUUCUGUGCCCAGUGUUGACCCCCUGCCUGCCUCCUGACCUUUGUUCUUGGUUUCUCCUUUCUAGUAUUCAUCUUCUCUCCAUUUUCAUGGACUAUUUUCUUUUCAGUUUUCCCCACA